UUCGCCACUUCAGCGUAUCAUCGUCAUUAAUGUAUAGCACGCCAUGCUCGAUACUUUAACGUGAGUGUAUUAGUUCGCUAGCACUGAGAAAAUUUUUACUGAAGUUUAUAAAAAAACCAACACACAGAAAGACAAAAAGAGGGAGAAGAGGGAGAAGAAGAAGAAGAAAAACACAGCAGUGCAAACAUACUUGACGUAUUUUCCAUGUGGACUCGCACUGAUCAAAAGGAAAUAUUGAACCAGCUUACCUGCAGCUUUAUUGGACGAUGGCUUCGACUUCUCCAAGUCAAAAGACGGCUGUUCAAGGAAUAGCAGGAGUCAGAAGCCAAGUUAGCAGAAUCUACAAGUCGAAGACAGUCAAUCGACAGAAG
rnacentral:misc_RNA from 1 species